AUUGAACGCUGGCGGCAUGCUUUACACAUGCAAGUCGAACGGCAGCACGGACUUCGGUCCGGUGGCGAGUGGCGAACGGGUGAGUAAUACAUCGGAACGUGCCCAGUUGUGGGGGAUAACUACUCGAAAGAGUAGCUAAUACCGCAUGAGAACUGAGGUUGAAAGCAGGGGAUCGUAAGACCUUGCGCAACUGGAGCGGCCGAUGGCAGAUUAGGUAGUUGGUGGGAUAAAAGCUUACCAAGCCGACGAUCUGUAGCUGGUCUGAGAGGACGACCAGCCACACUGGGACUGAGACACGGCCCAGACUCCUACGGGAGGCAGCAGUGGGGAAUUUUGGACAAUGGGCGAAAGCCUGAUCCAGCAAUGCCGCGUGCAGGAUGAAGGCCUUCGUGUUGUAAACUGCUUUUGUACGGAACGAAAAGCUUCGGGUUAAUACCCUGGAGUCAUGACGGUACCGUAAGAGUAAGCACCGGCUAACUACGUGCCAGCAGCCGCCGUAA
rnacentral:rRNA from 1 species